GGUAGCGAAAUUCCUUGUCGGGUAAGUUCCGACCUGCACGAAUGGCGUAAUGAUGGCCAGGCUGUCUCCACCCGAGACUCAGUGAAAUUGAACUCGCUGUGAAGAUGCAGUGUACCCGCGGCAAGACGGAAAGACCCCGUGAACCUUUACUAUAGCUUGACACUGAACAUUGAGCCUUGAUGUGUAGGAUAGGUGGGAGGCUUUGAAGUGUGGACGCCAGUCUGCAUGGAGCCGACCUUGAAAUACCACCCUUUAAUGUUUGAUGUUCUAACGUUGACCCGUAAUCCGGGUUGCGGACAGUGUCUGGUGGGUAGUUUGACUGGGGCGGUCUCCUCCUAAAGAGUAACGGAGGAGCACGAAGGUUGGCUAAUCCUGGUCGGACAUCAGGAGGUUAGUGCAAUGGCAUAAGCCAGCUUGACUGCGAGCGUGACGGCGCGAGCAGGUGCGAAAGCAGGUCAUAGUGAUCCGGUGGUUCUGAAUGGAAGGGCCAUCGCUCAACGGAUAAAAGGUACUCCGGGGAUAACAGGCUGAUACCGCCCAAGAGUUCAUAUCGACGGCGGUGUUUGGCACCUCGAUGUCGGCUCAUCACAUCCUGGGGCUGAAGUAGGUCCCAAGGGUAUGGCUGUUCGCCAUUUAAAGUGGUACGCGAGCUGGGUUUAGAACGUCGUGAGACAGUUCGGUCCCUAUCUGCCGUGGGCGCUGGAGAACUGAGGGGGGCUGCUCCUAGUACGAGAGGACCGGAGUGGACGCAUCACUGGUGUUCGGGUUGUCAUGCCAAUGGCACUGCCCGGUAGCUAAAUGCGGAAGAGAUAAGUGCUGAAAGCAUCUAAGCACGAAACUUGCC
rnacentral:rRNA from 1 species